AUAUAUUCCCCAUUGGGGGGAUGAGAAUCCCUGACCGGGGUUCGACAACUGGCGUAGCCAGUUGGACAGACCGGCGCGCAGCGAACGGGCUGCCCCGAAGGGGCGAGCAAAGCGAGUCAAUCCCCCCUCACCGCCA
rnacentral:sRNA from 1 species